rnacentral:tRNA from 1 species
GGUCCGCUGGUGUAACUGGUACACACGCCUGGUCUAGAAUCAGGAAACCGCCGGUUCGAAUCCGGCGCGGACCA